UUUAUUCCCGCCUGCCCAUCCCUCUCUAGGCAUGGACAGUCUAGGCCUCCACGCUGAUCCUCUUACUGCAAAAGAAGCUGAAGGGAACACUUCACUCCAAGGCUCAAGGGGCUACAGCUCUCCCCAAAUUUCCCCAAUAGGUUUGGAGUUCAAGAGCUAUUUUAUCAUACCAGUAAUAAGAGAAUUUGGGGUCUCACAUCCCCGCCGUGGGGUCACACAGGAAUUCUCUUUGAACAAAAGAGAAAAAGAUAUAAGAAAUUAUGCUGUGUGACCCUGAGAGGUGGUCGUAGAGCCCCUUGAAGGGCAGUAGGGACUUUUUAGGAGGAGCAUAGGCAACAAAAGGAGAGUGCAGAGCAAGCAGGCGGGUAGCAUGCUUCCUGUCCCUGCUGGUCCUGCCAAACCCUGCGCUUGCAGACUGCACAGCCACCUUUCUCAACCAGGACUUCCACCAUCCACGCACCAAUGGGAAUGCUGCUCUGGCCCGCAGGGGCUCCCUUGAGCACUGGCCAGGUCUUCCCUCAGCCACAAUCCCCUCCCACAAUCUGGGCACCUUUAGUUCUGCCAGCAGCUGCCUUGGCCUCUCUGUUCCUCACCAUACAUUACUUUUCAUUCUCUGCCUGCCCUGCCCUCCAUAUCCCCCUGCCACCAUCCACACACCAAUGGGAAUGCCGCUGUGGCCCGCAGAGGCUCCUCUCCCUCCCAGCAUCCAUGUGACGUGUGUCAUACCGCACCAUGGCAGGCUGGGGAAGGGGCACAGGGUCACCCUGAAACUGUGGAAUGCACCUCCUCCCCCUGCAAUCCCCUCCCCAACCCAGAGGGGAAAAUGAAGGUCACCCUGAUUUGACUCUCCAUGUAAAAUGGCAUUUUCUUCCAUAACAUCCCAUAUCAAUGUGUCAAUUUUCUAUUAAUUUUACCGGGGAAGUGUCUUCCCCUUGUUUCUCACUCUGCCUCCUCCUCUGUGUUAUUAUGGGCUUGAGGGGUAGGGGUAGCUAUUGCUCAUGACUUUUACUACAAGAUAACCAGACUUCCUAAGCCCUCCAUAUUGGGACCAAUCCCUGCUGAAUGCCAGGUGAUGAGAGGUUUCAGCCCCUGGCGUGGGUGGAUGACGUCAGACCAGGGCAGCAGAGGACUCUCAUUCCACAAGCUCCCUCAGGACUGAGCACUUGCUCCGGGUCUCCUGAAGCCCCAUGUCCAUCUCCUUGUCUGCCCUGCCUGUCUAGCAGACUUGGGCUGAGAACCAGACCUUUGCCCUUGGCCCAGCCUCGCCUUCCCCACUGGGUCUCUAGAUUUCUAGAUUCCUCAUAGGGUAUGCCAGCAAGGAGAGGAUAUGAGGGCCCAAGAAAACUCAGGAAGGUUUCUAUCACCAAGGGCAGAACACGAACAUCUUGAGGCUAAAGGAGCUGCAUGGUUGCUACCAACAAAGGAGACCGACGGUGUGCAGUUGAUUCCCAUGUUUUUACUACACUUCACCCCCAAAUUCCCAGCAAGGUCUAAGGCUUCGCCAGGAACCCUUGUCUUCUUGCCAAAGGCAUCUCAGGGCCAUCCUGCAAUACUCAUGAGGUUGCCUGUCCCUUCAUGCCCCUCACCCCACCCCAGGAUUAAUCAUCAAAGAAGGACUGUCUACAUGUCCUCCUCCCUGUGCUUAGGAAGAGAGACAAAUAAGAGAAUGAGAAGGCUGGGAAGGCCCUUAGCGGUCACGUCAAGCAACUGUCCUUGCCAAGGUUUUAUGGAGGAGGAAACUGAGGCCCCCUUGUGCUGAGUGGCUUACCCGUGAGCAGCCGGCACUCCAUAGGGCCACAGCAGAGACUGUUUCUUCGUGGCACGGAAGGACAUCUCUGCUUGCUGGUCCCACAGGCUAGGACAGCCCCUAUUGACCUUGCACUAUAGCUGCAUGUGACCUUUAACCAAUGGGAAAAUAGCCGGAUUUGUUUCCACCUCCUUCUGAGGUUCUGACCUGUAGUAGAGAAAAGAAAUAGACAAGAGUGGGUGGGCCAUAACCUGAUCAGCUGCCAAAAUGUGUGUGGCCCUUGUUACCCCUGUCCUGCCCACUUGGUGGACCAUUGCAGGAAGUCUGAGCCCUCUGCCUUCCUUUCUCCUUGCAGGGCGAAGAUGGCUUACCAGUCCAAGGCUGCUGGAACAAGUGAUGCCUCUAACCUUGGAUUGGCCUGUGUGUGUGUUUGUACAUAGAAUAUUUAUUUUUAUACAGUUUUCACUUUUUGAAAAUGCCAGAAGUAUGAUGCAUCUUACAGAUUAUUAAAAAAGAAAGAAAAACCUGCAUAUUUUGUACAGAAAAUAUCAACCUCUUCCCUUUUGUUUACAAGAUGUUUUGUAUAAGCCUAUGUCUCUAAUACAUUUUUUGUUUGGUCGUAAUGUCUGCAUGAUAUUUGUGCACACUUAUUAAGUAUCGAAGCUUAAUAAAUUAUUGUGUCCUGGUGCCAAAGGGGGCCAGCCAGAACUGAGGUGCUGGCUAGCUCAUGUGUGAAUUCACAUAAAUGUAGAGGUCCAUGAUAUUUGCUAAGCUAGGUGUGUCUAAGAGUAUUUUAAACCCUUAUGGAUUUUCAUUAUUAAAAGAAAUGAAACAUGGC
rnacentral:sRNA from 1 species